rnacentral:lncRNA from 1 species
UACAAAUAAAAUAGCUAAUGAGAAGAAAAACUGCCCCUACCGGCUUAUUCCCAAAGCCCCAGCCAUCUUUACGCAAGAAUGCUGUGACAAAUGGUACUUUUCACAUUUCUAACAUGCCCCUUCUCCGAUUAUAGAUGUAGAUGGAUAACAUGACCACAAGAGUUAGGCCCCGAAGCAGAUGAUUGCCUCUGGCACCCGCCGUAUGCAAUUCGAGGUGAAAUUUCCAAGAGCCAAAUGAAAUAAUUGCAACAGGCCUUCAUGGGGCUUUGAAUUCAGCCUCAAACAUUGUGAU